GCCCCAGUGGCGCAAUCGCGCGGUUAGGUACUUAUAAUGCCGAGGUUGUGAGUUCGAUCCUCACCUGGGGCA